AUCUGUCCCCGCGCGCGCGCUCUCGAAGCCCGCCGGGCGGCGGUGAAGGCGGGUGCUGGGGAAGUAACAGGUUACCGCUCCUCGCACCUUCGGCCGCGGCUCCCCAGGCGCGUAUCCGAGAGCCGCGAGCUCCGAUCCCCGAAGCGCCCAGGGAAAAUGGCUCUCGUGGCACUUCGGCUCCUGUGUGUCCUCCGGAAGAAACCAUUGAUAACGAUCGCAAGAGAGAGGAGGGCCGGGGGGCCGGGGAGCGCCAAAAGACAGCUGCCACCGGACUGGCGGGAAGCACUAGGCUGUGGAAGGAAAAGGGGAGUGAAGAAUCAGGACAGAAGUGGUGUGAAAAGGGAUCCCUGAGACAUUAGCAGAGAAUCCACUUGACUGGGAUAAUCAAGCCAUCUUUGUAUUAUGGGAUCUGUUUCUAGAAACAAAGGGACGGCUGGAGAAGGGAGGAAGAUGACCACGGGUCAGACUGCCGAUUUGUUAAGACAUCCUUAUUUUCAACACUCCUUGAAGACGGUUUGUUUUCAGCACU